AUGGAGGAGAUCUCAGCUUCGGUGGUGAUGACAGAACAUGAAUUCGGUUCUGCUCCUAAACCAGGUGCACUGGAUGCUGCUGCUGUACGCAUACAGCAAUUGGAAGAAACAGUUAAGGAGCUGAUGAGAGCUGUCACAGCUGAAAGUGGUUCAAGACUUCAAGUGCCUUUUCACAGAUUUUGUGUCUCAGACAAGGACAUCCUUUUUUACACCAGAUUCACAUCAAGAGAUGUUUUUUGUGACUUCUGGGAGGUUAUUCAACCAUCUGCCUCCAUGUUGGUUUAUUGUUCAAAAGCUCAGAAAAAGAAACAAACAUUUGAACCCCUUUCUCCCAAUCCAACGUGUAGACUGCAACUGGUUGAGUUUUUUCUCUUCUGCUGCCGGGUUGCUGCAGGCCUGCAAGAGAAGGUGCUGGCUGACAUGUUUCAGGUCAGUGUGUCCACUGUCUCCCAUGUUGUUAUACCGUGGGCCAACUACCGUUACCUGCUCCUUGGCUCCCUCCCCAUCUGGAUAAGUAAACAGCAAGUCCACCAUGCCAAGCAAAUUUGUGCAGUACAGUCCAGAUGAUGAUGUUCGGGUAAUCAUCGACUGCACCUCGGUGCAGUCGAUGAUUACCCGAACAUCAUCUUACAAGAACACAACAACCUUUAAGGCCUUGAUUGGGAUUGCCCCUUGUAGUGCUGUGACUUUUGUGUCAAGUCGCUUCACCGGCUCCAUCUCCGACCCAGAGCUGACUGAACGAAGUGGACUACUGGAUUUACUGGAGCCAGGAGAUGGCUGCAUGGCAGACAAGGGUUUCACCAUCGAGAAGCCACUAGCUGAUCGUGGGGCAACGCUGAUUAUACCACUCUUCAAGAUGACAGGUAGGCAUGAAAGGAAUGAACAUUUCAAAUUAAAACUUUGACCCAAAUGUGGCCAUUAAGAUAUGUAGACAAAUGUUUAAGAUGGACUGAAGCACUCACAAUAAUAAUGCUAAUUAACUUAUCUCUAACCACUGCGCAGUUCACCGAAGAGGAUGCUCUGAAAACACAAGCAAUCGCCCGACUUCGAAUCCUCGUAGAAAGAGCAAUGGGCAGAGUCAAGGAAUACCGCAUCUGGGAACGCACUGUCCUUUCACCUUGUCUGCGACAGUCAACCAGCUGUGGACCGUCUGCUGUGUGAUGACCAACUUCCGGGGACCACUUGAUUUAAAAGGCUACAUCCCUGUUGAAUAGUGUUUCUACUCAAACAUGUACCUAUAAAUAUAAUAUAUAAAUAUUUAAACGAGAGGCACUGAACAUUUGGAGUGGUCCCUUCAUUUUUUCCGGAGCUGCAAUUCUGUAUACUGAAAACAUUGUAUAUAUUGAAUGACAUGUAUGUAAUUGAAUGAGAAGUCUUUCAUCUAUAAUCAAUUUUAAAGUCCAGACAGUCCAUCCUGAAAGUAUUCAAAAUAAUGUUAAUAUGUAAUGUAGUAAAUUAUGUACUCAGAAAAUGGGAAUGAAUUAAAUCCUUUUAUUCUUUCAGUUCCUUUAUUCAUUCAGUUCAUUUCACAUUCAUUUCACUUUCUGCUGAAGAUACACAUUCAUAUAUGUACCAAAGAAGUACAAGUCUACCUUAUUUUUC
ensembl:lncRNA